UGUUGUGCUGAAUCCUUCAUGUGUUGGAGCUGAAAGUAUUUAGUCUCAAGCACCUGUUCAGAUCAAGAAAGCUUACUGAAGGGUGGCUGUCAAAGAGAAUUAAAUGGUGCCUAAAGAAACCCACCAACGUUAUAAUUAAAGAGAUGCCAACCUUGACAGUAGAAUGACCAUCUCAAGAGGACUCUCCUCCCAGGAAAUGAAUCCCCUUCCAGGAAACCCAAAACAUCCUCUUGAUGCCACAUUAUCCAAAUCCUGUGGAAUGAAAGAAAGUUCUCUCUGCUGGCUAUCUGAUCAAGGGGAGUUAACGAAAUAUAAAUUCUCAUCUCAAAUCACAGUGCCCAGCUCCAUUUUCAUCCCUCCCCCUUGGUGUCUUCCUGAAGUGUCUGCUCUAAGGGAGUCAUACAUGACCUCAACCUGGCUCCAACAUUCUUACUGGGACUUCCUGGUAAGAACAGACCUACCUGACCACCCUCAUCAAUGGAUCCUGAAACCCAGGCAGUGUACAGACCACACAAGUGUCAUGGUCCCUGUUCUUGGAGAGCCAGUAUUCUAAAGGAGCAAGAUUCCCCUCUCCCUCCAAAGCUGGGAAGCUCAGUUACUGUUUGACUCUUAGACUCAUACUUUUUACCGAAGACAAAGCUUUCUCCUCACUGGCCCAUUUCACCACUAGAUUAUCCACAUUUAGUGGAAUCUGGAAGGAUUAAAUUGAACAGCCAAGGAAUUGGGACUCUCGAUUCAGUUACCUUGGGCUGUCAAUCAUUUUCAGAGGAUGCGGUGAGAAGAUGGAGCCAACACUAUCAGCUUCAACUCUACCCAGUUUUCUCCAGUAAUCCCUUUGGCCAUGAUAGACCUGUUGACAAAGAAGUAAAGAGGACAGUGGAUAGGAUAGGUUGAGUUUUUUUCAACUACCCAACAAGAAAAUGUUUGUAAUGUACUUUGAUAUUCUUGCGUGAAGGCUAUUUAAAUAUAAAAUAUUAUUGGUGCUGCUGCUGCUAUUGUCUUGGGCUUUUCUAAGUGGAAUUGCCAGCUGAAAGAACAAGUGCUAGGGAUACUCCAAGAGCGUCUUUAUUUAUUCCAUGUUUGAGAAUUACACAAUCGUCCCUUCCUCUGGAGCUGACCCCCUCAGAAGGGGUUGGGGGUCUGAGUCUCUGGACCGCGACUGGGGAGUGGAUUAUCUGCUGGAGACACAUGCACAGAGCUGACUGAGGAGUGGACCACGGGGCCCUGCAUAUCCGGGAGGGGCUGUUUGGGUAGAGGGGGACAAAGAGGCCGCUCCAGCAGGGGCGGGGGGGACAGAGAUCUGUCUCCCUACUUGUCAGACUGGACUCCGGAGAAGUGACUGGAGUGGGGAAGCCCUUCUUUUCCCUCCCCUCAAAGUAAGAUAGUGCCUACAUUUUCUCGCCGGACCCCAAACACUCUGCUCGUGGCCCUGGGCAGGCGGAGGAGACGUGGAUACCGAGUUCACCCACCCCCUUGCAGUGAGCUGAGACUGCACCCCAGAGAGGAAUGAAAUGAGGAGCCUUGUGUUGGUUUUCUUUUUAUUUAAAAAAAGAUGAAAAAUAAAUCCAGAUUUGACUUUU